rnacentral:rRNA from 1 species
CAGUCGCCGCGGGAAUACAGAGGGUGCGAGCGUUAAUCGGAUUUACUGGGCGUAAAGCGUGCGUAGGCGGCUUUUUAAGUCGGAUGUGAAAUCCCUGAGCUUAACUUAGGAAUUGCAUUCGAUACUGGGAAGCUAGAGUAUGGGAGAGGAUGGUAGAAUUUCAGGUGUAGCGGUGAAAUGCGUAGAGAUCUGGAGGAAUACCGAUGGCGAAGGCAGCCAUCUGGCCUAAUACUGACGCUGAGGUACGAAAGCAUGGGGAGCAAACAGGAUUAGAUACCCGCGUAGUCCCUGUCUCUUAUAA